AUAUCUGUUCCCGUACGACCACCAAAGUUAAGCAGCGUCGAGCCCGGUCAGCACCUAGAUGGGUGACCGCUUAGGAAUGCUAGGUGCUGUAAG